rnacentral:rRNA from 1 species
AUACACCUCUCCCGGCACACGAGACCGAGGCAGGUCUAGUGAGCGGCGGACGGGUGAGUAAUGUCUGGGAAAUUGCCUGAUGGAGGGGGAUAACUACUGGAAACGGUAGCUAAUUCCGCAUACCCUCAGAUGUGCCCAGAUGGGAUUCCCUUGUCGGUGGGGUAAUGGCUCACCUAGGCGACGACCCCUAGCUGGUCUGAGAGGAGGACCAGUCAUACUGGAAUUGAGACACUGUCCAGACUCGUACGGGAGGCAGCAGUGGAGAAUAUUGCGCGAUGGGCGCAAGCCUGAUGCAGCCAUGCCGCGUGUGUGAAGAGAGCCUUCGAGUUGUAAAGCACUAUCAGCGUGGAGGGGUUACGCGCAGAAGAAGCACCGGCUAACUCCGUGCCAGCAGCCGCGGUAAUUC